GACCUCGUGAUCCGCGUGCCUCGGCCUCCCAAAGUGCUGGAAUUACAGGCUUGAGUCACCGUGCCCGGCCAGUUGGUUGGAUUUGUAGAUGUCCUCCCCUCCCUUUGUGAUUUAGACAGCUUGGACCUUAAAUACCUGAGGGGUAGCCAAGGCACCUGUUGCCUAGAAACUUAGCAGAAUCUCCACCUCUCCCCAGGCCUAAUUCCAUUUCUUGGGAUCGUCCAUUCUCUGACUCACGACAGGGUACAGGAGGCCUAACCAAUUAUGAGCACAAAGGAGAGAUUAAGUGAACCAAUAAGUGUUUAGUCCCAAGUGGGCCUGGAUUCAGUUUGCCAAUCCUACCACAUGGCGGCGAUAGGAAGCAAGAGGGGUAGUCACAAUAUGCCUUUCUAAUACGCAAUGACUGCCAACGGUAGCCCAGACAGUAUUCUAGAAGUUGACAAAACAUAGACGCUCCUCCUUGGGACUGAAAUGUAUGGGGGCGGGGGGAAGAGCGAGAAGGGAGAGUGAAAGAAGAGGAUAGAGAUUUUCUUUCUACUUCAAAAUACAUCUUUCCAGUCACUUUGGUCCCCUGGUUUGUGAUGCAGAGUCCUUCAUUCAGUUUCCAGUGCAACCCUUUCUGAUGAAUUCACCCCAGAGUCACUUUUACUAUCAUGGGAUCCAUCAUAUUAAAAUGGCACUUAGGAGCUGGGUGAGGCAGUGAGGAGGAGGACAAUGGAAAGACUGAGCAGCAAGAAGAGAGGAGGACAUAGGAAAACUUACUUCAUAUUGUGUCCGGAAUUGGUGGCUUCUUGGUCUCACUGACUUCAAGAAUGAAGCCGCGAACCCUGGUGGUGA
rnacentral:lncRNA from 1 species